UAGAUGUGUAGCACAAAAACAAACCAAAAUUUAAGUUGAGAUUGACAAUAUUUUCUCUAAUAGCAGCCAAAUUAGAAAAUAUGGAGAAAACGCUGUUUUUCACUAUAUAAAAUCCUAUGAAUCCGAAAUAAUAAACUCAAAAUAUGAUGAUGAUGGUUUCCAGCAAAAUAUUCUCUUCAGUUCAAUUUUUCACUCUUUUAUAUCUCUUUACAGUUACUUUUGCUUCCACUAAGGAAGCUACUGCACUCCUGAAAUGGAAAGCAACUUUCAAGAACUAGAAUAAUUCCUUAUUGGCUUCAUGGACGCCAAGUUCUAACGCAUGUAGGGACUGGUAUGGAGUUAUAUGCUUUAAUGGUAGGGUAAAUACGUUGAAUAUUACAAAUGCUAGUGUCAUUGGUACACUCUAUGCAUUUCCGUUUUCAUCUCUCCCUUCUCUUGAGAAUCUUGAUCUUAGCAUUAACAAUUUCUCUGGCACCAUUCCAGGAGAAAUAGGUUACUUGUGGUCUCUUACUGAACUAUAUUUGGGUUAUAACUCUCUUAAUGGUUCUAUUCCUUCUUCAUUGGGGAAUUUGAACAACUUGUCUAUUUUGGAUCUUUCUUAUAAUCAGCUUUCUGGCUCUAUUCCUUCUUCAUUGGGGAAUUUGAACAACUUGUCUAUUUUGUUUCUUUCUGAUAAUCAUCUUUCUGGCUCUAUUUCUUCUUCAUUGGGGAAUUUGAACAACUUGUCUAGUUUGGGUCUUUCUUAUAAUCAGCUUUCUGGCUCUAUUCCUUCUUCAUUGGGGAAUUUGAACAACUUGUCCAAUUUGGGUCUUUCUUAUAAUCAGCUUUCUGGCUCUAUUCCUUCUUCAUUGGGGAAUUUGAACAAGUUGUCUAGUUUGGAUCUUGAUACAAAUCAGCUUUCUGGUUCUAUUCCUGGAGAAUUAGGUUACUUGAGGUCUCUUACUGCACUAUCUUUGGGUAAUAACUCUCUUAAUGGUUCUAUUCCUUCUUCAUUGGGGAAUUUGAACAACUUGUCUAUUUUGUUUCUUGAAAGAAAUCAGCUUUCUGGUUCUAUUCCUUCUUCAUUGGGGAAUUUGAACAACUUGUCUAUUUUGUUUCUUAAUAUAAAUCAGCUUUCUGGUUCUAUUCCUUCUUCAUUGGGGAAUUUGAACAACUUGUUUAUUUUAUAUCUUUCUAAUAAUCAUCUUUCUGGUUCUAUUCCUUCUUCAUUGGGGAAUUUGAACUUCUUGUAUAGUUUGUAUCUUUUUAAUAAUAAUCUUUCUGGCUCUAUUCCUGAAGAAUUUGGUUACUUGAGGUCUCUUACUACACUAUCUUUGUCUAAUAACUCUCUUAAUGGUUCUAUUCCUGAAGAAUUUGGUUACUUGAGGUCUCUUACUAUACUAUAUUUGUCUAAUAACUCUCUUAAUGGUUCUAUUCCUUCUUCAUUGGGGAAUUUGACAAAUUUGGAAGCUCUGUUUCUCAAUGAUAACAAUCUCACUGAGGAAUUUCCUUCAUUUGUGUGCAAUUUAACAUCACUGCAAGUGUUGUAUAUGACGAGAAACAACUUGAAGGGAAAAGUCCCCCAAUGUUUGGGUAAUAUCAGUGACCUCCAGAUUUUGUCAAUGUCACAUAAUCAUCUCAGAGGAGAGAUCCCUUCAUCUAUUUCCAAGUUAACAUCACUACAAAUUCUGGAUUUGGGCAGAAACAAUCUGGAGGGAGCAAUUCCACAAUGUGUUGGCAAUAUUAGUAGCCUCCAGGUUUUUGAUAUGCAGAACAACAAACUUUCUGGGACUCUUCCAACAAAUUUUAGCAUUGGAAGUUCACUUAUAAGUCUCAACUUGCAUGGAAAUGAACUAGAGGGGAAAAUCCCUCGACCUUUAGCCAGUUGCAAGAAGUUGCAAGUUCUUGAUCUAGGAAAUAAUCAUCUCAAUGACACAUUCCCCGUGUGGUUGGGAACUUUGACAGAGCUUAGAGUUUUAAGAUUGGCAUCGAAUAAAUUGCAUGGACCCAUAAGAUCUUUAGGGGAUGAAAUCAUGUUUCCUGAUCUUCGAAUCAUAGAUCUCUCUUACAAUGCCUUCUCGAAAGACUUACCAACGAGUCUAUUUCAACAUUUGAAAGGGAUGAGGAGAAUUGAUCGAACAAUUGAGGUACCAAGAUAUGCAGGAGGUAGAUAUUACGAAGACUCGGUAGUUAUUGGAACAAAGGGAUUGGAGUUUGAAGUUGUGAGAAUUUUGUCUUUGUACACAGUUAUCGAUCUUUCAAGCAACAAAUUUGAAGGACAUAUUCCUAGUGUUCUCGGAGAUCUCAUUGGUCUUCGGGUGUUGAAUAUGUCUCACAAUAGAUUGAAAGGUCCUAUACCACCAUCACUUGGAAGUUUAUCUGUAGUGGAAUCACUGGACCUUUCGUUUAACCAGCUUUCGGGAGAGAUACCACAACAACUUGCUUUUCUUACGUCUCUUGAAUUCUUAAAUCUCUCUCACAAUUAUCUCCAAGGAUGCAUCCCUCAAGGACCUCAAUUUAAUACCUUUGAGAACAAUUCAUAUGAAGUUAAUGAUGGAUUACGUGGAUUCCCCGUUUCAAAAGGUUGUGGCAAUGAUCCUGUGUCAGAGACAAAUUAUACAGUAUCUGCGCUAGACAAUCAAGAAAGCAAUUCUGAAUUUCUCAAUGAUUUUUGGAAAGCUGCUCUGAUGGGCUAUGGCAGUGGACUAUGUAUUGGAUUAUCCAUUAUAUAUUUCAUGAUCUCAACUGGAAAUCUGAAAUGGCUUGCAAGAAUCAUUGAAGAACUGGAACACAAAAUUACCACGCGAAGGAGAAAGAAGCAGCGCGGUCAAAGGAAUUACAGGAGAAGAAAUAAUCGCUUCUAGACAAGUUACCAAUAGAGAAGGAUUUGAUUUCAGAACUUCAGAUGCCAAGAAUAAGUAGACGGCGGCGUAAUGGAUUUGGUUCUUCCUGCAGCUUAUGAUAUAGGAUUUGAUUUAUAGUUUCUUUUUAGUUUUAUAAGCAAGCUUUUUCUUCACUUGGGAAAAUGUAACAUAAUGAAUUUUGAUGAUAUAUCAAGUUUAUGUAAUAUUUUAACGUAUUCAAUAAAUGUUGUGUGUACUGAAUGAAGUGUAAGCAUUUCUCUGA